UCCCACUUUCGGACUUUCCCAAAGACACCAAAUCCCAUUUGAUCUUGGAAGCUAAGCAGGGUUGGUUUGGGUUUGUAGUUGGAUGGGAGACCACCGACAAGACAUAGUUGUUGCAA
rnacentral:rRNA from 1 species